rnacentral:rRNA from 1 species
UACAGAGGUCUCAAGCGUUGUUCGGAUUUACUGGGCGUAAAGCGCACGUAGGCGGAUCCUUAAGUCGGGGGUGAAAUCCUGGAGCUCAACUCCAGAACUGCCUUCGAUACUGAGGAUCUCGAGUCCGGGAGAGGUGGAGUGGAACUGCGAGUGUAGAGGUGAAAUUCGUAGAUAUUCGCAAGAACACCAGUGGCGAAGGCGGCUCACUGGCCCGGUACUGACGCUGAGGUGCGAAAGCGUGGGGAGCAAACAGG